UCUACACGCUUCUUAAACCGCCGGCUGCCCACUGGAAGGUUAGCUAAAUGUUGACCGCCCGUUUGGUCGUCCACCGCUUCAUCCGGGCCGUCGAUGUCCGCCCCGUCGAUGUAUAAAUUCCGCUUGGCGGGGAUUUCUUAGUUGCCUUUCCCCGCUCGGGGUUGGGUCAUUAGGAUUUUAGGUUAUUGGGGAUCGUUGUUUUCGCUGAGUUUGGUUUGUUUCAUGGAUCAGUUUCUGUUCCUGUUUCUGUUGUUCGUGAGUUUGAUGAUUCAGGAGGAGCGGAGGAGGGCCAGAUCUUGAACAGUUAUGUCAGCGAUCGGCAAGAUUGAGGGUUAGAUCUGAUUGUAAUUGUAGCAAGCCUGCUGUUUUUUUGGAUUGAGCUAAUCUUUUUAGGGUUUCUCGCUUUGCUGGCGACGAUGAUCUGGAUAUUGCUUGUUUUCGGAACGAUUUGGUGGUGUGGAUGGUUUUGAUGAUUUGUUGUUACGGAAACAGCUUCCUCGGGUUUAUUUUCGUAGGCUGGAGUUCGUAGAUUAAGCGACCUGAUUUUCUCGUUCGGAAGCGUUGAGGCCCUGCUUGGAGAUGGCAGCUGACGGGAAUUGGUUUUUCUUUUUGUUCCGUCUGUUUUUGAAGUUUUUGAUUUGCAAUCUGGUCGGUUGUAGUACAUGAGGAUGACGUGGAGUCUAUUUCUCUGUGUAAUUGUGAUAGGCAACCAGAGGAUUGUUUGGAGGUUGGCGUACUUUCAAUCUAAUACUUGCAUGUCGCCUCGGUAGAGGAGUUUGUUGGUCAUCAUGGUGGUUUGUUUUGGCUAAUUAGGCAUAUUACCGAGAUGGUUGGAUGAGUUCUAUUAGGCUUAACUUCCUUUUUGUUGGAUAUAGGUUUCGCUGUUUAUAUUCGUGAAUUGGAGACCAGUUUCAGCGAUGGGGUGGAAGGAAUGGACUCUGAUGUGGUUCUGUUUUUUAUUAUGAGGCGGUUCAGUUCCAUUCUAGAGUUUGCUUUCUAUCAAGGGGAAUCCUAUUACGCGAUAUUGAUUUUAGCUACUUAUUUGGUUCUUGUAGAGGUUCUUCUCCGUUCAUGGUGUAAUGAAGAAGCCUUUUUUGUUCGUACAUCAGUUGUAGAGCUCGGAAGAUCCUGCUUUUAAGCUAUCUGCUAACAGACAAGUGCAGUGUCUCUGGGACAAAUUUUAGCCUAAGACGCGAUUUUUUGGACUUUUAAGAUACCCAGCGUUUUUUAAGUUCCCAAAAUUAUCGGUUGUUCGAUUUCUAUGUUUACGGUCGGAUCACUUUGCAGGGUCUAAAUUGCGGGAUACCAUGUAGUGAUCGAUCUGAGACGAGAACCUGGAGCCGCAAUCGACGGGCCUUUGAGUUGACCGUCUGACCUAUAUAACUUUGUGGUUUGGUAUGGCUCCUCUGUUGUUAUCAUUGGAAUUUUUUUUUUUAUCAGUUAUUGGUUAUCUCUAACUGCCUGCAGGCUAUUAACCUCCGUCCCAUUCAAACUUGGACAAAAUGCGGACAUGAUUUUAGUUUUUUGUUGGCCGGUAGUCCAUCGUCGACAAUUAUGGCUUCGUUCUUCUUUUGAAGAUUCAUUAUUUAUAUGAGGAUGUCUUUGCUGGUGAACCACGUUGCCUGAGUGGGGAUCGUAUUUGUGGAUGGGCAUUCCUUUGUGUACGGUGGAAACAGUUAUCCUUCGAGCUUGUUUUAGACUUUCCGUUGAGCUCUUUUUUGGUCAUCCUUUUGAUGGUAGAAUAUUGCAGCUUUGAUCAUGCGUUGGGAUUUCUGUUCGGCUCAAUGUAGGAAUUUUUAUUAUUUCAUUUUCAUUUCGGUGAAAAUCGUCUUGGUGCUUCAGGAGGUGUGUUUGCAGAUAAAUGAAGAGUAUCUAUCCAUGUGGAAAAUGGUUCCUUUAUUUAGUUGGCUUAUUUCUUGGAGUUUGGGAUGGAAUUGCGGAAUGCAUCGAAGGUGGUUGAUUAGGAGUUGGCACGUGUUGCUUUGCUUUUGUCAUAAUUUUGACUUGAUGUGAACAGAUAAAAAAAAAUCGUCGUGGUGCUUGAGGAGCGGGUGCUUGUAUAUAGAUGAAAGUGUAUUUCGUCGGUGAUCAAGUUGGAGAAGGGUUCCUUUGUUUAGUUGGUCUAUGUUCUUUGGGGGAAAUCAAACCAUGGGAGUUGGGAUUGGACUGUGGAAUGCAUCGAAGGUGGUUAAUUAGGAGUGGGCGUGUGUUUUCGUCCGUCUUAAUUUCGGCUUGGUGUCGCCGAAUCGUUCUAUUGAUAUCUUUAUGGCUUCGUGGAAGAAUCUGUUUUUCCCCCCUGCUUGGCCGUCGUCCUUGCCGUCGGAAAGUUGUUUCCACCGUGCUCAGGUUUUCUAAGUUAAAAAGCUUUUUUUCCUUGUACAGUGAUGGAGGAUUGUUGUCAAGCCUUGUUAUCCAGUUCACAGAUUACGUUACUUGUUAAGUAGUUUAGAGGGAUGAUCCUUUGUUAGGGUUGGGAUUCAUCCGUUGAUCUUGAUUGCAAUUUAGUGACUUGCUGCGAGAUUGCUGUUGGAGUUGUCAGCUUGACGGAUUCUGUUUUGGAGGUCUUUUCCUGGUCUGUUGUUUGAAGUCCUUGUACCUCUAUGUUGGAAAUUGUAAUCUUUUUAAUCUUCUGUGUGCUCGUUUUAGGUAUUAGCUUUAGUCACCUGAUCUUGGACAGGUGGAAUGUCUUGUAAUAAAAUCUUGUGACUUGCAAUUAGUUUUUUUGAAAUCAGUUAUUGCCUUGCAGGCACUUCAGUUAAUCUGUUAAUGAACCAGUGACAAAAGCGUGCAAUACGAUUUUUUUUUUUGGUUAAAUAAUUUUAUUUAAUUAUGAAUGCAUUGCAGUGUAUAUCUGUUUAAUAGUUUUUUUUUUGGGUAUUUGCAGUGAUUUGAUAGCUUUUCAGUAUGGUCGCAUGUUUCUUUCAGUUUAGACAAUUAUUAAUUGUAAAAUUGGCUGAACAUCUUUUAUUGGAGUGGAUUCUCUUAUUUAAGUUGGAUUGUUCUAGAUGUUGAAGUCGGUGAUGAUUUGACACAUCUAAGAUCUAGGCUAGUUCGAAAUCUAAGGUAGGUAGGACGUGUCCUAAAUAAAACCGUGUAAAAAAUCAUAUAAAGAUAUCGGUGGAGUUUGUAGUUAUUUGUUACAGUUGCGUAUUGUUGGAAUUGUUAGAACUUAAAAGGAUGAUUGUGUAUCUAGCAGUUACAUUGUUAUGGGCGUGUAUUUUGUCAGUACUCGUUUGAUAGAUUAGUAAAAUGAGUGCGGAGUUUCCCAGAGCGAACCUAUCUCGUGAAGUGUGCAUUGAUAGAAUUGUUGGAAUUCGAAAAGAUGAUUGUGUGUACUUACAUAGAAUUGUUGGAAUUCGAAAAGAUGAUUGUGUAUACUUACAUUGUUGUAGGCGUGUAUUCUGUUAGAAUUACUUGGCGCUCUAAUAGAUACGUAAAAUAUAUUGAAUGUUCCCACAGCGAACCUAUUUUUUUGUCUCGUGAAGUUGAGGGCGUCGUUGUCAACCUUGUUUUCUAUUAAACUUUGUAUACUUUAUAGAACUACGGAGGUUCCCAGAACGAACCUAGCUCGUGAAGUGUGUAUUGUUAGAAUUCGAAAAGAUGAUUGUGUAUUACAUUGUUGUAGGCGUGUAUUUUAUUAGAAUUCCCUGGGCGCUCUAAUAGAUACGGAAAAUAGGUGCGAAGGUUCCCAGAUCUAUCCUAUUUUUUAACUCGUGAAGUUAAGGUCGUCGUUGUGAACUUUGAACGACGAACUUUGUUUUCUAUUAAACUUUGUAUAAUUUAUAGAACUACUUUAAGUUUGAACAAUGGAAAACCUAUAAUUAUGAUGUUUGUGGGAGAGUAUGUUGACAAGGGUAACACUGUAGUGCUAUUUCGGUCGAUGACCAGAUCAUGUUGGAAAAUUUUGACGGAUUUUGGUCGUGGGGGAUUCUGAUGUUAACGUUUCAAACCAGAACAUUUUAUUUAAGUGUUGGUGGGACAAAUCGUAGGAGGCGGAUGCCAUAACAUGACCAUGCAAAAUUAUGUUACUCUUGUAUGAUUUUCCAUCUCUGUCUUAGUACUUGAAUGUAUGACAAGGUGUAUAUGUUAUGCUUUAAGAAGCAAACUGUCUAAAGGGCAUUAUUUUCAUUUUGGAAUUGCAAUUUGGGGAAUAUUUGACUACUCUUAAAACUCCCAGCCUAAGAUGGGGAACCUUAUAGGAGAUUUCUCUUUUAUGGUAUCGUAAGUUCUUUUUUGAUGGUGCUGGUGAAGAUCAUCUGAACUGUAUUUCCUUGGGAAGAACUGGUGGUGCUAGUACAUCCUGUAGAUUGGACUUUAGUACAAGUAUUUGUUUUCUCUGGCUUUUAGGUCGAGAGUAUGUUUUUCCCUUGUUUGUAGAUUGGUGAAUGCCGUUUAAUCUUUAUUUUUUUAAGUGUCAGGCUUUUAGGUCGUGAAUAUGUUUUUUCUCGUUUGUAAAUUGAUUAAGGCCAUUUAAUCUUAAUUUUUAGGUCGAAAAUAUGUUUUUCCCUUAUUUGUAGAUUGAUGAAGGCCAUUUAAUCUGUCUUUUAAGUUGUCACGUAUGACCUGUCCUCAGUUUCAGCAGUUGGUUAAUAAUUUUCAGUGAAAUUGUCCUUUGAUUGGGCCGAAGUCAUCUUGACAUUCAGUUGAUUAAUAGAGCAUGUUAUGUUUUCGAACAUUUCACGAUGCUGGAACGGAAUGUUAUGUUAUUGUGUUACAUUGUUGCUGUGGGUCUGUUUGUGAGCUUUCCUAAUGGUCUCAAUUAACUCAUAACCUCUAUACUGAAAAUCAAAAAUGAAAUUUUCCUAGUUUUAGAAGAUUUGUUGAGGGUAGGUUAACUUUCCUAAUGGUUUCAAUUCAUGGUUCCUUACUGAAGCACAUGGAAAAAUUUCCUAGCUGUAGAGAGGCGUUAGUUUUCGAUGUAUUUUCUUAUUAGGGCGUGUUAUAUUGUCGAAUAUUAACUAUGAUGGAAAUGUAAUAUUUUUUCCUGGGUGCAUGUUCCUUCUUGAGCUUUUAUGUGAUGGGCAAGUGGGUGCCUGUUCCUUCUUGAGCUUUGAUGUUUGGGUGACAUUCUCUUUUCCCUAAUAGGCUAAUACUAAUACCAAGGGUCCCAUUCGUAUGUAGCAUUAUCGAGUCGUAGUUACAUAAAAGAAAUCAGUUCGUGUUUAUCAUUGUGGAGCCGUUGUUCUAUCAAAGAAGUCGGUGUUCGUGGAUAAACAUUUAAGUUGUGGCUUCUAGUCCACUAAUGUGUUGUCUCACGUAUUCCAGUUUUUUCUUAUUUUUCAAUAUAUGUUGAAUUUUCUCUUAUUUUUCAAUAUAUGUUGAAAUUUCAUCAUAUCAUAUCUUUAAAAUGAUUCCAUAAGAGAAAUCAGUUCGUGUGUAUCAUUCUGGAGGUGUUGUUAUCGGUACGUAGGUGAUAGAUGAACAUUUAAGUUUAAUUCAUGUUCUUGUGUAGCUUUGCAAAAAAUACUAAAUUGGUAACUACGUUUCUUACUGUAGUCUAAGGUACUUCUUGUUACUUAUUUGCCAUUGGACAUAUUUGCCGUUUGACAAUCACAAUCUAUCUCAUUGAUAUUUGAUAUUUGCUGUGUAUCUGAUCCCUUCAUAUUCUCCCCUGUAAUUUGAAAGCCAAAUAGAGACUUAACUUUUUUUUUUUUAAUGUUUAUAUGCUACCCAACACGUGUUUUAUGACAUUUACUAGUUUUGUAACUAUGCAUGAGGAUAUUGCAUGUCGUAUAAGGAGGUAAUAAGUAAGUAUUUUUAAUAUGUUGAGAAAACAUAUUUUCCGAUAUUUUGCAGGCGAGAAAAGAAUUUGUAUAAGUAAAAGAUAAGCGUGUCUUCAAUCAAGCGCAAGUGAAAGAAAAGGAUCUCUUUGAAGAGAGAGAAAAGAAUUUCUAUUAUGUUAUUUUGAAGGAAAAAUAAGCCUGUCAUUUCAAUUCAAACCUGAUCUUCUAGCAAGUAAUAAGAAUCGUAGGCUCCCUGGAUAUGAGGCCUUUCAUUGACUAUUCUUCCUGGGGUAAAUUCCAUAAUAAAUUGUUUGGGCAUAUUUUAUGUUGGAAGGACAAACGGGACAAACGGAGGCCAAGAAAGUGUCUGAUUUAUAUUUUUAUAUAUCAAGUAACCUGCUCAUCAUACUUCUAUUCAACAUCAAGUAAAUUAAAGGGGCUGAAACUGAAUUUAAAGAGAUGCUAAAGAGAUGUGGAAGCAAGUGCCACUACAAGACCCUCUUACUAAAAUAUAAAGAUGCAAUUCAGUGUGAAAAUCGAAGUGUGUGAACAUGAGGGAUUUAAGUGUGGUUAACAAAUGUACAUUUAUUUUUUCUCUGAUGUUGCUAUAGAAGUCUCUUACUAAAAUAUAAAGAUGCAAUUCAGUGUGAAAAUCGAAGUGUGUGAACAUGAGGGAUUUAAGUGUGGUUAACAAAUGUACAUUUAUUUUUUCUCUGAUGUUGCUAUAGAAGUCUCUGAUCUCUUUGUAUGGAUAGCGACGAUUCCUAUGCUUUUAUCUCUGUCGAUUCUUUUGGGUCGUGCACGGCAUCUAUGGCCUCCGAUAUUAACAAUUUGGAUUUUGGUAGGAAAGCUAAAAUGCCAUUUGGAGACUAAUUUAACAAUUUUGGUUUUUUGGUUGGAAAGGGGAAAGGUCGCAUGGGAUCAGUCUUUGAGAUCAAAUCUUGUACAUUUCUGUUCUGUCCUUGGUGAAUGUUUUUAUUUUACCUCUUCUCUGUUUUUAAUUUUAUCUUUGUGAUGUUUGCUGUAAAAAUGUGGCUUGCAUUUGUGUCCUUGGAACUUCUUCGGUAUUUCUGUUGGUGAUUAUCUCUACCGCUCGUGCUUCUAUCUUGCUGCGAACGGAGACCUUGACCGUGUAGUUUUUUUCUGUUGUGCUUGACCAGUUUGUGAUAGCAUUAGCAUGAGAAGUUUAGGUUCAGACCAUUUCUGUGUUUUGAGCGGAUAAUCAAUUGACCGUGCACCAAGACAUUUCAUCUGACUGGAUAAUUGAGAUUUUUGGCUGUCUUUUUCUACUUUCUUGAGUAUUUGACUCUUCCUAUUUCUCAUGCACAGAGCCUUGUAGUCUGACUGGAUGAUUGAGAUUUUCUUUCUCGAGUAUUUGUGUCUCUUUUCUAUUUCUCGUGUACAGAGCCUUGUUGUUUUAUUAACUUUUGGCUAUCUUUCCUAUUUCUAUGAUUUGAGUCUUCUGCUUCUAUUGUAUUCCCCUUGUUGUUUUGCAAGUGCCAUUCUUUUUUCCUCGAGUAUUUAUUUGCCUCCAUCUUAUGUUUCCCCUCCAUUUUUGUUCUCUUACUGUACUGGGAAUUCUGUGUUAUGUGGGCUGAUGCUGUUGACAGUAUAUUAUUAUCUUUUGACUUGAAGUAUUUUGUAUUUCCCUAUCCUUCUAUAAUUUGGGUGUUGCUUGUUCUAUAAUUUGAGUUUCCCCUAUUCUUCUCUCCAAGACUCUGCUUUGUGUUGGAGAGCUGGUGCUGUUGACGAUAUACUAAUGUGGUAUACUAAUGUCGUCGUCAUUUGUUACUUGUCACAUUUGAAGUAUUUCCUUUGUAGGAAGGAUUAACAGUGUUCUCCUUGCAUUUGUACUAUUUUGUUUGUAUGUAGGAUCACGUUUGAAGUAUUUUGUUUUGGUUACAAUCUAAAAUUUCCAUUGCAUUUGCAGUAUUUUGUUUGUAUCUUAUUUUCCGGUAUCCUUAUUUUCUAUUAUCUUGUAUGAUGAGUUUUGAAGUAUUCUUUUAUGUAACUUGAGGCAGUUACAAUAUAAAAUCUAAAACUUGCUCUUCUGAUUUGAGUUUUGCGUUUUGCUUCAAUAGUUGUAUUUUUUUUUCUUGUUUUCGAAUUAUUCAUUUAAAAAUUUUCUAGUGUCCUUUGUUUCUUGGGCUUUUUUGUUUUUGAAAUUGACACGGGAUUCUGUGUCCUUUGUUUCUUGGGCUUUUUUGUUUUUGAAAUUGACACGGGAUUCUGUGUUGUGUUGUGUUGUUGGCAGUGUAUAUUAAUAUUUUUUGACACUUUCUACAGUGGUUUGUGUUGGUGUUGUUGGCGGUAUAUUAACAACUUUGGACAUUUGCUACAGUGGUUUCGUCAUUUGAGGUAUUUUGUAGGUAGGGUUAGGUAACUCCGCCAUUGGGGGGUCAUCUACUCUGCCAAUGCCAGUCCCAAGCCUGGACAAAGGAGGAGGGCCAUCCUACUAUGAUCAUGCGUUGUAUCGAGUGGUCAUCUACUCUGCCAAUGCCAGUCCCAAGCCUGGAUAAAGGAGGAGGGCCCAAGCCUGGGUCUCAUCGUCACUGUUCUUUUCUUUAAAAGUCUGGUGCCGUGAAUGAAACCUCUGUUAUUGCAAUCUUCCCAAACUGGAGCGAGGGAAUUUAGAUUUGUUGUGUACUAUAUAUUAAUUUGAAGUAGAUUCAUUGCUGCCUGGGUUAUUCUACUAUUA